rnacentral:tRNA from 1 species
GGCCCCGCGGUGUUUCACGCAGGAGUGCAAAUCCUGAGAAGGACCCUAAAGGUGUCCCGGGGCUU